rnacentral:rRNA from 1 species
AUUGAACGCUGGCGGCAUGCCUUACACAUGCAAGUCGAACGGCAGCACGGGAGCUUGCUCCUGAUGGCGAGUGGCGAACGGGUGAGUAAUGCAUCGGAACGUACCCGGAAGUGGGGGAUAACGUAGCGAAAGUUACGCUAAUACCGCAUAUUCUGUGAGCAGGAAAGAGGGGGAUCGCAAGACCUAUCGCUUUCGGAGCGGCCGAUGUCGGAUUAGCUAGUUGGUGGGGUAAAGGCCUACCAAGGCGACGAUCCGUAGCGGGUCUGAGAGGAUGAUCCGCCACACUGGAACUGAGACACGGUCCAGACUCCUACGGGAGGCAGCAGUGGGGAAUUUUGGACAAUGGGCGAAAGCCUGAUCCAGCCAUGCCGCGUGAGUGAAGAAGGCCUUCGGGUUGUAAAGCUCUUUCGGCUGAAAAGAAAUCGCACAGGCUAAUACCCUGUGUGGAUGACGGUAUCAGCAUAAGAAGCACCGGCUAACUACGUGCCAGCCGCCGCAGUAA